rnacentral:lncRNA from 12 species
CUGCUUCCUGUGUACGUAGGGAAACUGAACCCUAGUAAGGAGACUGGGCUAAUGUGAGCUCAACAUUAAAGUCAGGACUAAAAAAGCUCUCCGGGCCCUUCAUUCAUACUUCUUCUAUGUAGUCAGUCUUCAUAAACCUGUAAUAACAUCUCUUAUGACACUCCUUAUAUUCCAUUUUACUUUACAACUUCUUGUAAUUGUCUGGAUUUGUAGGUCCAGGAGCAGAGACCAUGUCCUAAUCAUCUUCAUAUAUUCUGCAGCACAUGGCAAAGGGCUCACACAUGGUUCAUCUGGACUGCCGGAGCCUUUCUUCUGGGACACACCAAUCGCUGUGAUUCAUAGACCACUGAACUAAAUCCAGAAAUGCCCACACACCAAGUGACUCCAUGCUGUUCGUUCAGAACAAGUGUCUUCUCUUUCUGGAAUACAGGAGGGAUAUUGUUCACUAGGACUAAAUCGGUUGGGAAGGUAAUAGCCAUGGCAGUGUGGUCGAUGUUUGACUUGCUGAGGGUGAUGUGAUUUGGAAGGGAGACACAGAGAAACUUUCAGCUUAGUUUAAUGACGGCCACUUGAAGAGCCUUCCCAUCCUAGAGCUCUUUUCUGUUUCACUUGGGAAAGCCUAGAAAAGAAAAUGUUAGCAGCCCUUCAGCAUUCUGGCACUGAUUGCUACAAGCCGUAUCCAAAAUAAAGAGAAAAUGAGAGACCCA